AGCGGCGGACGGGGGAGUAACGCGUGGGUAACCUGCCUCAUACAGGGGGAUAACAGUUGGAAACGGCUGCUAAUACCGCAUAAGCGCACAGUACCGCAUGGUACCGUGUGAAAAACUCCGGUGGUAUGAGAUGGACCCGCGUCUGAUUAGCUAGUUGGUGGGGUAACGGCCUACCAAGGCGACGAUCAGUAGCCGACCUGAGAGGGUGACCGGCCACAUUGGGACUGAGACACGGCCCAA
rnacentral:rRNA from 1 species